rnacentral:rRNA from 1 species
AGGACGAACGCUGGCGGCGCGCCUAAAACAUGCAAGUCGAACGUGAAGCCCGGAGCUUGCUCUGGGUGGAAAGUGGCGAACGGGUGAGGAACACGUGAGAAACCUGCCCUGGAGACCGGGAUAACACCGGGAAACCGGUGCUAAUACCGGAUGCCCUCAUCGGACCGCAUGAUCCGAUGAGGAAAUGGAUUCGCUCCAGGAUGGUCUCGCGGCCUAUCAGCUUGUUGGUGAGGUAACGCUCACCAAGGCUUCGACGGGUAGCUGGUCUGAGAGGAUGUCCAGCCACACUGGGACUGAAGACACGGCCCAGACUCCUACGGGAGCAGCAGUUAGGAUCUGCGCAAUGGGACGAAAGCCUAGACGCAGCGACGCCGCGUGCGGGAUAGAAGGCCGUUCGGUUGACCAAACCGUCUUCGACGACGAGGAC